rnacentral:rRNA from 1 species
CCUACGGGUGGCUGCAGUGGGGAAUCUUGCGCAAUGGGCGAAAGCCUGACGCAGCAACGCCGCGUGUGUGAUGAAGGUCUUCGGAUCGUAAAGCACUGUCGCGAGGGACGAAUAAGGCUGCCGCUAACAUCGGCGGCUGAUGACGGUACCUCGAGAGGAAGCACCGGCUAACUCUGUGCCAGCAGCCGCGGUAAUACAGAGGGUGCUAGCGUUGUUCGGAAUUAUUGGGCGUAAAGCGCGUGUAGGCGGCUCUGCAAGUUGGGUGUGAAAGCCCU